rnacentral:rRNA from 1 species
UACGAAGGGGGCUAGCGUUGCUUGGAAUCACUGGGCGUAAAGGGUGCGUAGGCGGGUCUUUAAGUCAGGGGUGAAAUCCUGGAGCUCAACUCCAGAACUGCCUUUGAUACUGAAGAUCUUGAGUUCGGGAGAGGUGAGUGGAACUGCGAGUGUAGAGGUGAAAUUCGUAGAUAUUCGCAAGAACACCAGUGGCGAAAGGCGGCUCACUGGCCCGAUACUGACGCUGAGGCACGAAAGCGUGGGGAGCAAACAGGGA